CUGCCAGCAAGCCUAAUUCCAAGAAAUGUUCAGUGCAUAUGCACUUCCAACUUGACAGAGUAAUCAUAAAUUUAGUGCCGUUUAGGAUCGUUGACCAGAACCCACGUCCAAGGUUGCACAACAAGCGAAGUUGUCAAGCCAGUCACUCAGAAACCCGACAGAUCAAGGCCCAGCAGUGUGAAAUGUGUCGGCCAUUUUGGCUCCGUCAGAACUGGUGGCACAGAGAGCAACAGCUCAUUAGAAGGCAAGUGUGACAGAGCCUCUCUCCCCACUGGGUUCAACUUUCUCACCCAAACAGAGGGGGAGAGCAGAGGGAGAGGAGGAGAGAGGCAGAUGGCGCAGAAAUAG